GACGAACGCUGGCGGCGUGCCUAAUACAUGCAAGUCGAGCGGACUGAUUAAGAGCUUGCUCUUAUGACGUUAGCGGCGGACGGGUGAGUAACACGUGGGCAACCUGCCCUGUAGAUCGGGAUAACACCGAGAAAUCGGUGCUAAUACCGGGUAAUAUCUGAGAUCACAUGAUCUUAGGUUAAAAGAUGGCUCCGGCUAUCACUACAGGAUGGGCCCGCGGCGCAUUAGCUAGUUGGUAAGGGAAUGGCUUACCAAGGCGACGAUGCGUAGCCGACCUGAGAGGGUGAUCGGCCACACUGGGACUGAGACACGGCCCAGACUCCUACGGGAGGCAGCAGUAGGGAAUCUUCCGCAAUGGACGAAAGUCUGACGGAGCAACGCCGCGUGAGUGAUGAAGGGUUUCGGCCCGUAAAGCUCUGUUGUUAGGGAAGAAACAGUACCGAACGAACUAGGUCGGUACCUUGACGGUACCUAACCAGAAAGCCACGGCUAACUACGUG
rnacentral:rRNA from 1 species